AUUGAACGCUGGCGGCAGGCUUAACACAUGCCAGUCGAGCGGAUGAAGGGCACUUUCUCCUGGAUUCCGCGUCGGACGGGUGAGUAAUGCCUAGGAAUCUGCCUGGUAGUGCGGGAUAACAUCCCGAAACGGGCGCUAAUACCGCAUACGUCCUGAUGGCGCAAGUGGGGGAUCUUCGGACCUCCCGCUAUCAGAUGAUGCUAGGUCGGAUUAGCUAGUUGGUGGGGUAAAGGGCUACUAAGGCGACGAUCCGUAACUGCUGUGAGAGGAGGAUAAGGCACACGGGAACGUGGACAGGGACCAGGCUACUGAGGGACGCAGCAGACUGGAAUGUUGGGCAAUGGGCGGAAGCAUGACACAGCGAUGCGGAGCGUGUGAAGGAGGUCUUCGGAGUGUAAAGCACGCUUAGGUGGGAGGAAGCGCAGUAAGUUAAGACCUUGCGUUUGUGACGUUACCUGCAGAAGAAGCACCGGCUAACUUCGUG
rnacentral:rRNA from 1 species